rnacentral:rRNA from 1 species
GACGAACGCUGGCGGCAUGCCUAAUACAUGCAAGUCGAGCGAACAGAUGAAGUGCUUGCACUUCUGACGUUAGCGGCGAACGGGUGAGUAACACGUAAGGAAUCUACCUAUAAGCGGGGGAUAACAUUCGGAAACGGGUGCUAAUACCGCAUAAUAUCUUCUUCCGCAUGGAAGAAGAUUGAAAGACGGCUCUGCUGUCACUUAUAGAUGACCUUGCGGUGCAUUAGUUAGUUGGUGGGGUAACGGCCUACCAAGGCGAUGAUGCAUAGCCGACCUGAGAGGGUGAUCGGCCACAUUGGGACUGAGACACGGCCCAAACUCCUACGGGAGGCAGCAGUAGGGAAUCUUCCGCAAAGGGCGAAAGCCUGACGGAGCAAUGCCGCGUGAGUGAAGAAGGCCUUCGGGUCGUAAAACUCUGUUAUAAGAGAAGAACAAAUUGUAGAGUAACUGCUACAGUCUUGACGGUAUCUUAUCAGAAAGCCACGGCUAACUACGUG